UACGGAGGGUGCGAGCGUUGUCCGGAAUCACUGGGCGUAAAGGGCGCGUAGGCGGCCUGAUAAGUAGGGGGUGAAAUCCUGCGGCUUAACCGCAGGGCUGCCUUCUAAACUGUCAGGCUAGAGCACGGUAGAGGCAGAUGGAAUUCCCGGUGUAGCGGUGGAAUGCGUAGAGAUCGGGAAGAACAUCAGUGGCGAAGGCGGUCUGCUGGGCCGACACUGACGCUGAGGCGCGAAAGCUAGGGGAGCGAACGGG
rnacentral:rRNA from 1 species